AGAGUUUGAUCCUGGCUCAGAUUGAACGCUGGCGGCAGGCUUAACACAUGCAAGUCGAGCGGAGAUGAGGUGCUUGCACCUUAUCUUAGCGGCGGACGGGUGAGUAAUGCUUAGGAAUCUGCCUAUUAGUGGGGGACAACAUUCCGAAAGGAAUGCUAAUACCGCAUACGUCCUACGGGAGAAAGCAGGGGAUCUUCGGACCUUGCGCUAAUAGAUGAGCCUAAGUCGGAUUAGCUAGUUGGUGGGGUAAAGGCCUACCAAGGCGACGAUCUGUAGCGGGUCUGAGAGGAUGAUCCGCCACACUGGGACUGAGACACGGCCCAGACUCCUACGGGAGGCAGCAGUGGGGAAUAUUGGACAAUGGGGGGAACCCUGAUCCAGCCAUGCCGCGUGUGUGAAGAAGGCCUUAUGGUUGUAAAGCACUUUAAGCGAGGAGGAGGCUACUGAGACUAAUACUCUUGGAUAGUGGACGUUACUCGCAGAAUAAGCACCGGCUAACUCUGUGCCAGCAGCCGCGGUAAUACAGAGGGUGCGAGCGUUAAUCGGAUUUACUGGGCGUAAAGCGUGCGUAGGCGGCUUUUUAAGUCGGAUGUGAAAUCCCCGAGCUUAACUUGGGAAUUGCAUUCGAUACUGGGAAGCUAGAGUAUGGGAGAGGAUGGUAGAAUUCCAGGUG
rnacentral:rRNA from 2 species